rnacentral:rRNA from 1 species
UACAGAGGGUGCGAGCGUUGUCCGGAAUCACUGGGCGUAAAGGGCGCGUAGGUGGCGACCCAAGUCGAUGGUGAAAGCUCGCCGCUCAACGGCGAGUCGGCCACCGAUACUGGGUUGCUGGAGCACUGUAGAGGCUCAUGGAAUUCCGGGUGUAGCGGUGGAAUGCGUAGAGAUCCGGAAGAACACCGGUGGCGAAGGCGGCAUCCUGGACCGACACUGACGCUGAUGAGCGAAAGCCAGGGGAGCAAACGGG